UACGUAGGGGGCAAGCGUUGUCCGGAUUUAUUGGGCGUAAAGAGCGUGUAGGCGGCUUUACAGGUCCGUUGUGAAAACUCGAGGCUCAACCUCGAGACGCCGGUGGAAACCGUAAAGCUAGAGUCCGGAAGAGGAGAGUGGAAUUCCUGGUGUAGCGGUGAAAUGCGUAGAGAUCGGGAGGAACACCCAUGGCGAAGGCAGCUCUCUGGUCGGUCUCUGACGCUGAGAUGCGAAAGCGUGGGGAGCGAACGGG
rnacentral:rRNA from 1 species